rnacentral:snoRNA from 1 species
AACUUGUUAAUAAGAUGUUUCUUAUUAAAAAUGUCUGAACAUAUGAACUCUGUAGUGAUCUCGGUGCAUUACUGAGAUAAGCU